rnacentral:rRNA from 1 species
AUCCAGACUUUGAUUCUGGCUCAGGACGAACGCUGGCGGCGCGCCUAACACAUGCAAGUCGAACGAGAGAUGAGGAGCUUGCUCUUCGAAUCGAGUGGCGAACGGGUGAGUAACGCGUGAGGAACCUGCCUCAAAGAGGGGGACAACAGUUGGAAACGACUGCUAAUACCGCAUAAGCCCACGGCUCGGCAUCGAGCAGAGGGAAAAGGAGCAAUCCGCUUUGAGAUGGCCUCGCGUCCGAUUAGCUAGUUGGUGAGGUAACGGCCCACCAAGGCGACGAUCGGUAGCCGGACUGAGAGGUUGAACGGCCACAUUGGGACUGAGACACGGCCCAGACUCCUACGGGAGGCAGCAGUGGGGAAUAUUGCACAAUGGGGGAAACCCUGAUGCAGCGACGCCGCGUGGAGGAAGAAGGUCUUCGGAUUGUAAACUCCUGUUGUUGAGGAAGAUAAUGACGGUACUCAACAAGGAAGUGACGGCUAACUACGUGCCAGCAGCCGCGGUAAAACGUAGGUCACAAGCGUUGUCCGGAAUUACUGGGUGUAAAGGGAGCGCAGGCGGGAGAACAAGUUGGAAGUGAAAUCCAUGGGCUCAACCCAUGAACUGCUUUCAAAACUGUUUUUCUUGAGUAGUGCAGAGGUAGGCGGAAUUCCCGGUGUAGCGGUGGAAUGCGUAGGUAUCGGGAGGAACACCAGUGGCGAAGGCGGCCUACUGGGCACCAACUGACGCUGAGGCUCGAAAGUGUGGGUAGCAAACAGGAUUAGAUACCCUGGUAGUCCACACCGUAAACGAUGAUUACUAGGUGUUGGAGGAUUGACCCCUUCAGUGCCGCAGUUAACACAAUAAGUAAUCCACCUGGGGAGUA